GGCCCAUAGUUCUGGUGCAUUGGAAGGGUUCUGGAAUUUUAGAACACAAAGUAGCAGUUUUAAAUAAUGAGAGAAGAUUCCACAUGGAACGCUCAUCUGGCUGUGGCAGCCUGUGACUGAAUGAGAGAAAAGUGCCCUAGAAGCUAUUCAUUACGAAUUCACUGGAAGCUCUCAAACGAGGCUGGCAGAAGCUGAAAUUGAAGUGGUCUCUGACCUAAUUUUCUUCUGCAUGAAACAUCUGCAUCAAGGCUCUCUUUGAUGUAUUCCACUUGGCUCUGUCUAUAGGAUUGUAUCACAUGGACUCGGUGUUGCCUCCUUAUUGAAAGACAUUUCCAGCCUUUGCAAGAUUCAUCUCACUGCUAAUUCAUAUUCAGCUUCUUCCCCAACAUAAUUUCUAAGGCAGAAGUUUGAAAGCUGGUACCAAUCCAUGGCCUGUUGAGAACUAGGCCUCACAACAGGAGUUUGCAGCAUCACUGAAAACGAUGCACUCUCCUGCCAAGUCCCAUCUUUGGGAAGGAGGAAAUUGAUUAGAUCCAGGAGGUUUUCAUAAAUGCAGCAAGUGACUUUCUCAGCAUCAUCUGAAACAUUUGGUCCCAAUUCUUGGGAAAGGCCUAAGAAUUGCUCUGGCUUGGUGACAUGUCCACAUCCUCAAUCCAACAUCUGA
rnacentral:lncRNA from 13 species